GCUGCGGUCUCCAGAGGGGCGGUGAUUGGUCCCUGCUUUCCGCCCACCUCCCCGCCGACGCCUAUUGAUUGGUUCUACGUGUGUUUCAAAUAAACCUAACGGCUCGCAUGUCGGAACGGCAAGAGUUUGUAGAGAAGUGCCCGGAUGUGACCCGGAGGUGGCAGUGGUAGCCUCCAGGCUUCUCAGGGAGUGGCAGGUUUUGCAAGUUCCCACCUAAUCUCUGAGAAGAAAGGGAAAUCCGUUGUCCAAAUCUUAAAUCCCAGUAAGAGAAGGAAAACUUGUACUUUGGAAUAGAACACUUCCGACCAUGUCAAACAGGAAAUCCUGCUAUGUUCAAGUUGUCUCCACUUGUCUCAAGACAUGGCUCUCUUGCUGCUGCCCUUGGCCAGGCUUUUGUCCCCUUCCAAGGCAGGUCCUAGCUAAGAUUCUUUACGUUAAAUGUUAGCCUCUUUCUCCAGGCCCCUUCACUGGAAAUACAGUUAUUAAAUUUAUGUGUCAACCUCUGUUUGUAUGGGGCAGACAGAUAAAUCAAAAUAAGGAGUAACUUGAAAGAAUAAACCAUUAAAUAAUUCUUAUGUGUCA
rnacentral:lncRNA from 1 species